GCUGGCCCCAGCUGGACUUUAGCAAGAGAAAAGGAAAAGAUGUUUCCCAACUGCUGGGUCAGGUCUUGAGUUGGCCAGGAUGAGGACAGGGCAGAGUCCAGCUUCAUCUGAAUCUGUGUCUUCUCCCCGCCUUGUCUGUGGCCCAGCUGCCCUCCUGCACGCAGCUGUCAUCUUAGAGCAUCCCUGUGCCAAUUGCCGAAGCAAGACAAGUUGUCCUGCUUUGGGUCCGGGCCUCCAGUGCACCCAGCUCCAUGCCAAAACCUUUGAUGGGGUCAGAAGAGGAGCCCUUGCCUUUGGAGGUUCAGCUAUUGGGUCUUCAUUGAGGGCUAUAAUUCAUAGGAAUGCUUAGUUUGCAAAGGAAGGAAAACAAACUGGUUUGGGCAAAAAAGCAAUUUAU
rnacentral:lncRNA from 1 species